rnacentral:piRNA from 1 species
UAUCACCAACGACACCACUUGCAAUCGA